rnacentral:tRNA from 2 species
UGCAGCGGUAGUUCAGAUGGUUAGAAUGCCGCCCUGUCACGGCGGAGGUCGCGGGUUCGAGCCCCGUCCGCUGCGCCAU